ensembl:lincRNA
UCUUCUCUCUGCACUGUCUCUCCUUUGUGCAUCUUGAACUCCUGAAGGCCACUCAGAGCAUAGAUGCGCCAGCUUAGUUCUUUGGAGAAGCAGUGUGGAGUCCUAAAAAAGGAGGCUGAGUCUUACCGUUGAGGUCGGUGCCGGUAGAGAAUGGGAGGGAGUCUGCAGGAGCCAAGCACCCUAAAGAAGAGGAAGAGAGCACGUUGCUGAGAUUUGAACAGCGAUCUGAGAGGUCAGACUGGACCCAGGCCUCCUCAAGAAGCAACGGAGAUGGAGAUUCUUCCCUUUUCCCGGCCCUUCGGUCCUUCUCCGGAAGAGCUACUCUGGCCAGCUCUGGGCUAGGGGCAGUGGCCGAAGAGAAGGGGAAAGUAAGGUUGAGAGCACCGGAUUCCGAGCCCAGCAGAGAGCGGUUUCUAGGCCCCACCCACCCUCCCCCCAAGGUUUUCUUAAAAGUGAAUCUUGGCGUGGUUUUUGCAGACCAAACAUCAGAAACCCGGGAGAGGAAUCUAGAGAGCGCAUUUUGUUCUGUUUUGCUUUAAUAAUAAGUAGUGUGCCUUGUUAAACACCCUAUUACCCCCGCCCCCUUCUCCCACAACCUCUCUGGAGAAGAGUCUUUCCGGAGCGCCUAGAAACCUAAAAAUAACACGCCACGCUGAAGGUCCGGAGAAGCCACCGGCCACCUCUACAGAGUGGGGAUGCUGCCCGUGAAAGGUCAUCACUUUCUUCACCCCGACAACCUGACAGCAAAGCCCAAGCAGUUGAUCCUUUCCUUCCUUUGAGCCCAGGAUCCAAGCCCGAAAUAGAUGGGGAGGCCCCAACCCUACAGCCAUGAGGAAAAAGUGGUUCCUCGGUGACCACCGUGGCCACCGUGGCCACCGUGACUAUCUUUCGAGUUAGAGCCUUUGGUCAAGUCUAGAUGUCACACUUUAAAUGCCUUCCAAUGUUUCCCUUCUCGAGUCUAAUUUUUGCAAAGAAAUGAGAUGGGACCAUCAGACUCUGCCUAUGUUGCUGCCAUCUGGUGUGCGAGCAGUCUCCAGCUUGUGCUCCAGCUUGUGCUGAGAAGCACGGCUGCAGUACCUUAGGGGUAAACCUAUGAUGCCAACCCCACUCACCUCCGCCAAUGUUUUUAGGUUUUUGCCUGUUGCUCUUAGGGAUCCAGGGGCAGAGUUUUGCCUUAGGUGCUGAAGACAGCUGCUGGAGCCUGUUGCUUUUUCACACCACAGAUACUUCAUGCUGCCUAAUAUUCUACCGAGCCAGCCUAGGGGACUUGGAUCUGUCUCGCCUGGGGCUAAGAGAAUAGUUUCUCUAAGAAGAAAACAGUUCUAAUUCAAAGAUGCUGGAUCUGGCUUCCUUUAAAGCCUGAAGUCGCUGAAGUGGCCAUAGAACUAUGGGGUCCAGAGGACUGCCAGUCUCAGCCAGCCUUUAGGCUGGAGAGAGGCUGUGGGCCUGCUUGGGGACUAAAAUGGAUGAAUAAGAAACCUGUAAGAAAUGUAAACAGAUGGAAUGGCAAGGAGGAGAGCGCUGGAGAUUGUUCAGGUGUGAGCUGAGGUUUCUGAGUUUGUACUGGGGAUGCCUUUGCACACAGUGAGGUGCCCCCUCCCUAAGUGGCUCUUGUUUUGCACAAACAGCCCCACCCUGCGCACACACUGUGGGUCUCAGUAGGGACUGAGGGUGUAGGUGCUCAGGUUUUGGGGGUGGUGGUGAAGGGGCACUCAGAAUCAACAAGACAGGGCGGGGAAAAUCAAAAUCAACCAAGGAACCAGCCUUCCAUUUCUGAAAAGCCGCGCUCUGGCCCCCGUGCUUCAGUUCUGAAAUACGAAUAAAUGGAGUCAGAUCCCGUACUACACUCCGGGGACAGAGUUUUAAUGUAAACGUAAAAUAUGCUUGUAAUAAUCACUUGUGGGCCCUGAAGCGCCACUAGAAUGAAUCUCUGUUUAAUUAUAGGGCAUGAGAGGAGUAUUACCAGCUAAUUAAACCCCAUCCUAUUUGUAAUUCCCCCUCUGCUGCUACCGACUUUUAAAUGCGAAAUUGCUCUUUCUUU